rnacentral:rRNA from 2 species
GGCGGCCGUAGCGCGGUGGUCCCACCUGACCCCAUGCCGAACUCAGAAGUGAAACGCCGUAGCGCCGAUGGUAGUGUGGGGUCUCCCCAUGCGAGAGUAGGGAACUGCC